rnacentral:rRNA from 1 species
UGCAGUCGAGCGGCAGCACGGGUACUUGUACCUGGUGGCGAGCGGCGGCACGGGUGAGUAAUGCCUAGGAAUCUGCCUAGUAGUGGGGGAUAACGUCCGGAAACGGGCGCUAAUACCGCAUACGUCCUACGGGAGAAAGUGGGGGAUCUUCGGACCUCACGCUAUUAGAUGAGCCUAGGUCGGAUUAGCUAGUUGGUGAGGUAAUGGCUCACCAAGGCUACGAUCCGUAACUGGUCUGAGAGGAUGAUCAGUCACACUGGAACUGAGACACGGUCCAGACUCCUACGGGAGGCAGCAGUGGGGAAUAUUGGACAAUGGGCGAAAGCCUGAUCCAGCCAUGCCGCGUGUGUGAAGAAGGUCUUCGGAUUGUAAAGCACUUUAAGUUGGGAGGAAGGGCAGUUACCUAAUACGUGAUUGUUUUGACGUUACCGACAGAAUAAGCACCGGCUAACUCUGUGCCAGCAGCCGCGGUAAUACAGAGGGUGCAAGCGUUAAUCGGAAUUACUGGGCGUAAAGCGCGCGUAGGUGGUUUGUUAAGUUGAAUGUGAAAGCCCCGGGCUCAACCUGGGAACUGCAUCCAAAACUGGCAAGCUAGAGUAUGGUAGAGGGUGGUGGAAUUUCCUGUGUAGCGGUGAAAUGCGUAUAUAUAGGAAGGAACACCAGUGGCGAGGCGACCACCC